CGCCACCCCCUAUUCCUCGUCUUGCCUCGUGGCCUGAGUUAAGCGGCGGACCUCCAAGUCCAGGUCAGUGGAAGUGGCCGCCAUGGGGGCCAUCAGCUGCCUUAUGGCCGAGGGGCGACGACCAUGCCAAGGGAGAUGACGGUCCAGUCGAUGGCGUCACGGUUCGGCUUGGCUUGGCGACGGCGUUGUAGCUCGCUAUCGGCGGCCACCCUCUCUUCCUUAGGUCGGCCACCCUCUACCACUCUGAAGUGUUCAUGAUUUUUGUAGGAUUUAUUUGAUUAGGCAGAUCUAAAACGGAUUUGAUUUUGUUGGAUAUGAGGUGUCCAUGUCCCAGAUCCAUAACAUACCUGAGGAGAUGAUUCCAGCAGGGGCUGGUCUUGUCAAGAGGUUGGAGAAAGGAAAGCAUGCAGAGGGUGGUUGUGAAGAUGAAAAUUUUGCUAUUAUGUUUGCUGCUAUGGGAGUGAACAUGGAAACAAACCCAAUUCUUCAAACUUGAUUUUGAAGAGAAUGGUUCCAUGGAGAGGGUCACCCUCUUCCUGAACUUGGCAAAUGAUCACACGAUCAAACGUAUCAUCACCCCUUGAAUUUCCCUAACAACAGCGGAAUAUUUGGCAUAUGAAUGUGGGAAGCACGUUCUUGUCAUCUUGACAUAUAAGAGUUCAUAUGCAGAUGCACUUCAUGAGAUUUGCUAAUUUGCGCUGGCGGCCAGUUGGACAACUGUGGCUGCUCAAUGACCAUCAAUCAUCAGGAGGAACAGACAACAUUUAGCUUCCGGGAUCUCUGUUUCAAAUGACUCGAUGCGGCCUUGGCGAUGGUCCUGCUAGAGAGUUCGUCGAUGGCAGCAGCAAGCAGUCCCAAGGCAUAGGUAAGCUCCUUUGUUUGAUAUAUUUUAGCUUCGUCCAGCAGGGUGGGCAACCGUCUUCUUCUCUUCAAUUAAUCAUAUCUAUCUGUGUAGGUUUCACUGGAUUUAAUUUUAGUUUUGUCUGCAUUGAGUUUGUUGUUUGAUUAUUUUAUCAAGUGGAACCUGGCUUCUCAUGGACCUCCCAGCAUUUACCUAAGCAAUGGUUACUAUACUAUACACAUCAACUACAGUUGCGGAGAUCUGAACUACAAAUUGCCCUAUGGUGUAUUAACUCUGAAAUAUCAUGCACAAUCAUGUACAUUAAAUGUUUGAAUAAGUAGGAUGUUCUUGCUUAACAUAGUUUACUGCAGCAAAUACUUUGUAUGUGCUUCCAAAGUUCUCUUGCUUGCCGGCCGCUUCUGUUGCAUCCUUCUGGCAACCUGAGAGUAAACUGCUGGAGGUGAUAUAACGUUCUCCCUUCCAUUGCAUGGUUUGCUGCCAAUGCUCACUAUUCUUUUGCAUUUCUUCUAUGGCUAAAAGUCGUCCAACAAUUUUCAUAUGUACCUGCUUCUUCUGCAGAUGUUAUUAUUGCAUUAGCGAACUGCUCGUCUAUAAUUUUUUCUCUGCAAAAUAAAUACACAUGCAUAAUUUUUAUUUUAUCAUCUGCAAUUCUGGUUUAUUUUAUAGUCUUGGUUGAGGUCCACUUUAUUAGCCAAGAAAUUAUCUAUUUAUUUGAUUUGCCUAAAUAGACAGUAAGGUCUACUAUUUUUAUUUUAUUGGAGCCAUAGUUUGAUUGAACCAUACUGAAGUUACAAGUAAUUUCUGUUUUUACAUCUGUAUAUUUGAUUUGCUUCAUGUUCUUGAUUGAGACAAGUGAGGAGGAACAUCGACUAUUUUGCUAGGCAAUCACAUCUAAGACAAAACAUCCACGGUUGUUGUAUGAGUAAAAGCUAUACAAAAUACUUUUAAGGAGGAAGCAAUAUAUGUGUUUUCUUUUCGCUUCCUUGCUCUUGCUUAGUCCAGUCUAUUUUAUUCACAAAGGAAUCAACUGAUAUUCUCUUUUCUUCGGCAGCCGGAAUUCGAAAUUUCAAGUGCUUUGAUGUAGAUAGUGAUUACAAUGUGGCCAGGCCUUGAGGAUUUUUUCAGGUUUUGUAACAGGAAGUUAUCUCUAAAAACUAUUUUUCAUGGUUGCUAUCAAAUGAAUUACCGCUAAUCUUCAGCGGUUACCAAAUAAUUGGAGAAUCUGGAUCUUGGUGCUUGAUUUUGGCAUCUAUGGUACAUGGCUUGAUAUGUUUUUCUCGAUUCUACUUUAUGGUACAUGGCUUGAUGAAGGCAAUUCUACUUUAUGGUACGUGGCUUGAUAUGUUUUUCUCGAUUCUGUUUGUAACUGAUUUGUACUCCUCCAUAUCCACCAUGUUUGACAUAUUAAUUCUGUAAUUCUAUAAUCAUGCAUUAAGAAUGGCAAGUGUAUCAUUAGUGUUGCUUCUACUGGUACAUAUUGUCAUAUUAGUUGAGUUAUCAACUGCUGCUAUCAUAUGCUUAGUAAAGUCCCUACCAUUGAAUGCUAAUUUAAAUACAACAACUCACCCACUGAUGAUGCCAUUGAGCCCUGUUCGUACUAAAAAUUGUUAUUUUUUCGCUCUAGGUGUCAGUUAACUAAAUCGACAACAAUCAGAGUUUAAAGUCCUCCUUGUCGCAACCGGCAGUGUCCGGUCCUGGCUGAAGGAGGGUGUUCAGCAGCACGCAGGAUCACGAGUGCUUGGCUUCUUGCUCCCGGUCUACAUGGGCCAAUCCGGACGCGCUGCCUGCAGGAAGGCCGGGUCCCCGUCGACCACACUCGGGAGGAGAGCGAACGGCUGCUCGAGCAGGCCGCCGCCGGCGGCGUGGGCGACGUGUGAUAGGUCGUCGUCGCAGCCGUCCGUCAAGUGGAUGGUUUCUUACCGUGCGGGAGAUGUGCGUACGCCCGUGCGUGUACGAUUGCCCCUGUUCGGACUGGUAGAGGACACCACAUGAGGAUGAACUGACAAGUUGAAGCCGAGUAUCAAAUAUUUUUACUUACAACAACCAAGAGCUACCCAAGGUCCCAGGACCUGAUCAGUUGCAGGUUGUGUCGUUCAGGCUAUAAAAGACACCAGCUUUGGCCUUCUGAUCCUCUUGUGUGCUUUAUUUCCACUGAGAAUUCGAGUGUUAGAGUUCACAGAAGUCAAGAACAAGGUCACCAUCCUUGAUUUUUUAGGAUAAAUAUUUUGUAAGUAAUGACAUCUUGGCUCUGCAUUCAAUCUACAAUCACCUGAUCAUUAAGUUCAGUUCUGCGAGAGUGCGAGAUGCUCCUGUGCUAUCAUA